CGGCGACAGCACACAAAACGGAUUCGGAAGCGGAAGUAGCAAGUAAGCGAGCAAGGAGCGCUCUGUGGCCAUGUCUGGGUGUGUGUGUGUGUGUGUGUGUGGGUGUGCCUCUGUGUGUGUGUGUGGAUGGGCGCGCUGAGUGGGUGGAGUGGCGCUGAAGUGGGCGAAGUAGCGCCAAGUGGCUGGCUAAAGUCGACUCGCGGAGCACGACCAGAAUGGAAGUUUUGUGUUUGUGUUUUGCAAUGCCAACUAAACACACAUUCAGCUCCAUACACACACACAUAUGUAUGUCUAUACAUAUAUUAUAAGUCAAACAUACCUACGCCGUGGCAUCAAUAUUCACAUUCGCACUUGUGCGAGUAUUUUCUGAUUUGCUGCAAUCGCGUUUGCCAACAACGAACUUGGCUAACAACAACAGCUGCCGGAGUCACAGUCGCAAUCGUAGUGGGGUAUUUUCCAGCGGAUGUUUGGUAAAUCUUUGGCGCCGGAUACCAGCGCUGUCUUCCCCGGAGUCGCAAUCCCGCCCCCUUAGAUCACCACCCCUCGCGGGACACGCUUAUACUCUUUUCAUAUCUUUCUUGCUCUUACACAUGAAGGAACUUUGAAAAAACAAUGUAAAAGUAUACAAAUUUAUAUGAAAACCUUUAUUUAAAAUUUUUUACUAAAAAAGGCAUUUCAUUUAUUAUCUCAUAUGCAAGGUAUUUCAGUUUAAAUAUUACAUUCAUUUUAUUUGAAAAUAUUCUUUUAAUAAUAGCGUUCAUCAUUAUUCCUAUAAAAAAAAUUGUAUUUUGUAAAAACUUGGACAUUUUGCUCAGUGUACUAGCUUACACCCAGGGGUAUGUAUGUGUUGGUAUCGAUAACUAAUAAAAGCAUUACAUUUAUGUUAGAGUCAAGCGCCGUGGCCCCUUAUUUUCCCCCCACUUCUGUUUCGUCCUGAGCAAUAAUUCAGUUUCCAUUUCUCUGUUUUCUUCAGUUUCUCAUUUUCAUUUUGCAGCCAGUGCAUGUGUGCCUCGGCACUCCUCUCACCCUCUCCGUUUUCCCAACACUUUUGCCACAGUCAUGGCCAACUAAUUGGAAACAGUAGCCAGCUGCGCUUUCUUGGCCCAUUUUGUUGCUGCAGCGGCUUGGAGAGCUGGAUCCUGGUGUCUCGUUUAGUUGCCAAUUGCUUAGUUGAUUUUCAUUGUCUGCCCUUUGGGCCACACUCACAGGUGGCUAACAGGGCGAUGGUAUGGGUGGAAAAUGUAGGGGUUUUUCCGCUGUAUUGGCUUGUAAGUGAAACGAUAAACGCUGUAGCUCGCUGUCAUUAAUUGGCUGCCGGUUGAUGUUUAUGUCGUUAGCUCUUCGUUACUGCAAAGAGGGAAAAGCGGAUGGGACGUUUAAUAAUCUCAUCGCAUUCAGCUGGGUUUUCACUGAUUUUCCUGAUCUUCUUCAGCCGCUUUUAGCUUGAUAUUCAAUUAACUUUUGCAGGACAAAUCUAGGCGGGAUCUGUUAGGGACAGCCAGGCAGAAUGUUAAUUAAUAACGUUUAUGCUCGUAUCUGAGUAUCUGUGUAUCUGGGCAUCUGGGUAUCUGGUUACUGCACACUGGUUACUGGGGUAUCUGGCUGAUCUGGUGCUGUGCUAAUGCUUAGGCCGGGCCAAAAGAACUAUUCUCCAUUUCCUCGCCUCAAACGGCUUCCGUCUGAUCCUGAGAGCCAUGUCUUCGUCUGCAGCCGUUCGUCCUUCGAGCUGUUUUUGUCAGGCUGCUGCUUCUGUUGCUGCUGCUGCGUUCACCUGCCAGCGAGGGCGAAAAGAAAAUAUCCGGUUUUCAACCGCAAACUGCACUUUUCUACCCAUUGUGCCUGGCUCCAUUCGUUAUCCUGCCACUGCUCCUGCUGAGUGGCCCCAUCCCAAGCCCACACAGACGGAGCAAAGGACACGGACACGGACAGACACACGUUCGGGACAUUGAAUUUGUUUUGGGUUUUGAUUUUUCGAUUUCAGAUUGCACGUUUGAAUGGCCAGGACCAGGACCAGAGCAGACCAGGAACAAAAUCAGAAUCACAACCAGAAUCAGAUUCGGGAGCUUGUUAGAAGGACCGAAGAGCGAAGCAAGGAAACGGGUGCCGACCCAAGUCCGACAAAUUCAAGUCUGAAGUGUUGACUGCCACAUUUAUCGCAGCUGCAUCUGCAGCCACAUGAAAAUAUUCGAAUUGAUUGCAAAGUGCUGGCU
ensembl:ncRNA lncRNA:CR45669 long non-coding RNA:CR45669